GUGUUGUAUGAAAGGAGAGAAGGUGAGCCCUUCCCUUGACACAGAAGAGGCCCUCGGGCCUGAUAACACAGAGUUCCCGGCAUUUCACUAUUUUUUUUU
ensembl:snRNA